GUAGUCCUUGGAGCCGCCCUUCAUGAUGCUGAUGUUGAUGGUGAGCCAGCCCCUGCGGAUCACCUGAGCGGUCCAGAGAAACACCUGGCCACCAUCAUGGCCGCUGAUCCUGAGGACGGUUCUGCUGGAGGUUUCUUCCUGCUCAGAGUUGUUUCUUUCCACUUUCACCACAUGCUUAUCUAUUGCAAAAUCAUUGACUCAAGGCAAUCUUCUGGGGUCCUUUACCUUGAUUGACUUUUUCCUAAUUUGCAUAAAAGGUUUGGCUGAGUUUGGCUGUACUUUAUGAUGUUUGGAUUAAAUUGCUGUUGCUGUAUUUAAUUUAAUAUGACUGCAUCUAUGACUGGGUUUUUAAAGAUUUAAUUUCUGGAAAAUCUUGAUUUUUUUUCCCCCCACCAAUGCCCUCCUUGGGUUUCCGUAUUUUAGAGUGAUGUCAACAUACAGAGAGCCGCCAUCUUGUUUGAUGAGCCAGUUUUACUGAUUCUGUUUAUUUGGACUCUGAAUUCAGGUCAACUCUACAACAAAAUACAACGGUCAGGCUAAGAUGUUUUUCUUUUUCCAUUAUAAGAAUAAAGUGAAGAUAUUACAAGAGUACAGUCGUAGUAAUUCAAGAACAAAAUCAUAUGACUCAAACUGAAAUAAUAUGAUAUUGGAAUCAUAAUACAACACAACACAAAGAAUUGCUUUUUUCUCAUAAUUUUAAGAUGUUUUUCUGGUAAAAAUGUUGUCUUUAUUCCGCUAAUAUUAUGACUGUGUUCCUACAACUCACAGAAGGAACGACUGAAAUAAAAGCCACUUUUUGAAA